UACGUAGGGGGCAAGCGUUGUCCGGAUUUAUUGGGCGUAAAGAGCGUGUAGGCGGCCUUACAGGUCAGCUGUGAAAACUCGAGGCUCAACCUCGAGACGUCGGUUGAAACCGUAAGGCUAGAGUCCGGAAGAGGAGAGUGGAAUUCCCGGUGUAGCGGUGAAAUGCGCAGAUAUCGGGAAGAACACCCGUGGCGAAGGCGGCUCUCUGGGACGGUACUGGACG
rnacentral:rRNA from 1 species